rnacentral:lncRNA from 1 species
CCGGAAGUUUUUGGCAAUGAAUUUUUCGUAUAAAAACGAGUUUGUGAUUUCGCUGCUCGGGUUUUCUCGAAAGCUUUUGCUUUCUUCGGUACUUCGGAAUCCGGUGCCAAGCUUUCUGAUCUCUCUCCGUGGGGAGAAAAUUCCUAGGCGAUUAGAUAGUUGAUUUUAUUUUCUAUUACGCAGUAAAGACAGUGCAGCAGAUUUUCGCACUGCCGGAAUGGGUCCUUAUGAUUAUCAAAGAAUGAUGAGGGGCAAGGCUGAUACCUCGCAGGUGAUGCUAUCAACUGUGAAGAGGCUUCGAGGCAAGAUCUACAAACGUCUGCCUCGGCUCGCUACCUCGUAAGCAAACAGCGGGGCGUGAAGCAAGCCAGCUACAGGUGCUAGACGGCUUUCUCGUCAAAGAGCGUUCUAUUUCUAGGGUCUCAAUCG